rnacentral:rRNA from 1 species
UACAGAGGUCCCAAGCGUUGUUCGGAUUCAUUGGGCGUAAAGGGUGUGUAGGUGGCGCCGUAAGUCGGGUGUGAAAUCUCGGGGCUUAACUCCGAAACUGCAUUCGAUACUGCGGUGCUUGAGGACUGGAGAGGAGACUGGAAUUCAUGGUGUAGCAGUGAAAUGCGUAGAGAUCAUGAGGAAGACCAGUGGCGGAGGCGGGUCUCUGGACAGUUCCUGACACUGAGACACGAAGGCCAGGGGAGCAAACGGG